AGUCUUAUAUUCAAAUAUGAUUUUAAAUUGCAAAUUUAAAGGUAACUAAAAGUUUAAGGCUU
rnacentral:tRNA from 1 species